UAGAAGAGAUAAUGCUAAAAUUAGUAAUAAGAGAGCAUCAAGCUCCCUCCCAGCACACGUGUAAGUCAGACCGGACAAACCACUGACAACUAACGGACCCAACAACAGAGGGGAAAACAACAAAACUAAACAAACAAGAAAAACCUACACCAAAAACCUACCGUUAACCCAACACAGGAGUGCCUUAAGGAAAGACUAAAAGGAAAAGAAGGAACUCGGCAAACACAAACCCCGCCUGUUUACCAAAAACAUCGCCUCUUGCUAAUAAAAUGUAUUAGAGGUCCCGCCUGCCCUGUGACCACAAAGUUUAACGGCCGCGGUAUCUUGACCGUGCGAAGGUAGCGUAAUCACUUGUCUUUUAAAUGAAGACCUGUAUGAAUGGCAUAACGAGGGUUUAACUGUCUCCUCCUCCCAGUCAAUGAAAUUGAUCUGCCCGUGCAGAAGCGGACAUAAAAACAUAAGACGAGAAGACCCUAUGGAGCUUUAGGUCAAAGAUCAAGCAUGUUAAAAGACUAUACAAACCAAAAGAACUAAAAAAGUCAUACAAACUAAAUGUAAAAUGAUCUAAGUACCUUCGGUUGGGGCGACCACGGGGAAAAAAGAAACCCCCACAUGGAAUGGAAACAUUUCCCUAAACUAAGAAAAACACCUCCAAGUAACAGAACAUCUGACCAAAAAUGACCCAGGAUUAAACCACCUGAUCAAUGAACCAAGUUACCCUAGGGAUAACAGCGCAAUCCUUUCCCAGAGCCCAUAUCGACGAAAGGGUUUACGACCUCGAUGUUGGAUCAGGACAUCCUAAUGGUGCAGCCGCUAUUAAGGGUUCGUUUGUUCAACGAUUAAUAGUCCUACGUGAUCUGAGUUCAGACCGGAGUAAUCCAGGUCGGUUUCUAUCUAUGAAAUUACUUCUUCCCAGUACGAAAGGACCGGAAAAAGAGGGCCUAUACUUAAAGCAAGCNNUACCCCUACCUUCUGAAAACAAAUAAAAAAA
rnacentral:rRNA from 1 species